rnacentral:rRNA from 1 species
UACGUAGGGGGCAAGCGUUGUCCGGAAUCAUUGGGCGUAAAGAGCGUGUAGGCGGCCCGGUAAGUCCGCUGUGAAAGUCCAGGGCUCAACCCUGGGAUGCCGGUGGAUACUGUCGGGCUCGAGUCCGGAAGAGGAGUGUGGAAUUCCUGGUGUAGCGGUGAAAUGCGCAGAUAUCAGGAGGAACACCUAUAGCGAAGGCAGCUUGCUGGGACGUUACUGACGCUAAGGCGCGAAAGCGUGGGAGCGAACAGG